GACAGAGGGUGCAAACGUUGCUCGGAAUCACUGGGCGUAAAGGGCGUGUAGGCGGGCAGAUAAGUCGGGCGUGAAAUCCCCAGGCUCAACCUGGGAACUGCACUCGAAACUGUUUGCCUUGAGUAUCGGAGAGGAAAGCGGAAUACCUGGUGUAGAGGUGAAAUUCGUAGAUAUCAGGUGGAACACCAGUGGCGAAGGCGGCUUUCUGGACGAUAACUGACGCUGAGACGCGAAAGCGUGGGGAGCAAACAGG
rnacentral:rRNA from 1 species